UGGGGAAUAUUGCACAAUGGGCGCAAGCCUGAUGCAGCCAUGCCGCGUGUAUGAAGAAGGCCUUCGGGUUGUAAAGUACUUUUAGUCGGGAGGAAGGUGGUAAGGUUAAUAACCUUGGCAAUUGACGUUACCGACAGAAGAAGCACCGGCUAACUCCGUGCCAGCAGCCGCGGUAAUACGGAGGGUGCAAGCGUUAAUUGGAAUUACUGGGCGUAAAGCGCACGCAGGCGGUUGAUUGAGUCAGAUGUGAAAUCCCCGGGCUUAACCCGGGAAUUGCAUCUGAUACUGGUCAGCUAGAGUCUUGUAGAGGGGGGUAGAAUUCCAUGUGUAGCGGUGAAAUGCGUAGAGAUGUGGAGGAAUACCGGUGGCGAAGGCGGCCCCCUGGACAAAGACUGACGCUCAGGUGCGAAAGCGUGGGGAGCAAACAGG
rnacentral:rRNA from 1 species